UUUGACUGAAUAUACCCAAAGUUUAUUCAACAGUACAUCUAUGGCUCAUGAACUGGUUCCCUAAAAGGUCUCAAUAUCUGACUUUUGAAAAUGUUGAGGUUUCAGUUUGACUUCUUACUUUUGCCUCUUUGAGCCAUUCUUCAAUGGGACCGCUCACACCCCACCUGUCUACUCAGUUCCUUCUCAAAAAGGAGCCCUAUAAGCUGUGCAGAGCUUAUCACAGAAUCAUAGGAUCAUGGAAUGGUUUGGGUUGGAAGGGACCUUAAAGAUCAUCAAGUACCAACCCCCCUGCCAUGGGCAGGGACACCUGCCACUAGACCAGGCUGCUCAAAGCCCCAUCCAGCCUGGACUUGGACACUUCCAGGGAUGGGGCAUCCACAGCUUCUCUGGGAAACCUGUGCCAGUGUC